GUCCACGCCGUAAACGAUGUCAACUAGCCGUUGGGUUCCUUGAGAACUUAGUGGCGCAGCUAACGCGAUAAGUUGACCGCCUGGGGAGUACGGCCGCAAGGUUAAAACUCAAAUGAAUUGACGGGGGCCCGCACAAGCGGUGGAGCAUGUGGUUUAAUUCGAAGCAACGCGAAGAACCUUACCUGGCCUUGACAUGCUGAGAACUUUCCAGAGAUGGAUUGGUGCCUUCGGGAACUCAGACACAGGUGCUGCAUGGCUGUCGU
rnacentral:rRNA from 1 species